rnacentral:rRNA from 1 species
UACGAAGGGGGCUAGCGUUGCUCGGAAUUACUGGGCGUAAAGGGCGCGUAGGCGGAUGUUUAAGUCGGGGGUGAAAGCCCGGGGCUCAACCUCGGAAUUGCCUUCGAUACUGGACAUCUUGAGUACGGGAGAGGUGAGUGGAACUCCGAGUGUAGAGGUGAAAUUCGUAGAUAUUGGGAAGAACACCGGUGGCGAAGGCGGCGCUCUGGACCGAGACUGACGCUGAGGCGCGAAAGCGUGGGGAGCAAACAGG